UGGGGAAUUUUGGACAAUGGGCGCAAGCCUGAUCCAGCCAUGCCGCGUGCGGGAAGAAGGCCUUCGGGUUGUAAACCGCUUUUGUCAGGGAAGAAAUCUUCUGAGUUAAUACCUCGGGAGGAUGACGGUACCUGAAGAAUAAGCACCGGCUAACUACGUGCCAGCAGCCGCGGUAAUACGUAGGGUGCAAGCGUUAAUCGGAAUUACUGGGCGUAAAGCGUGCGCAGGCGGUUUUGUAAGACAGAGGUGAAAUCCCCGGGCUCAACCUGGGAACUGCCUUUGUGACUGCAAGGCUUGAGUGCGGCAGAGGGGGAUGGAAUUCCGCGUGUAGCAGUGAAAUGCGUAGAUAUGCGGAGGAACACCGAUGGCGAAGGCAAUCCCCUGGGCCUGCACUGACGCUCAUGCACGAAAGCGUGGGGAGCAAACAGGAUUAGAUACCCCGGUAGUCCACGCCCUAAACGAUGUCAACUGGUUGUUGGGAAGGUUCCUUCUCAGUAAUGUAGCUAACGCGUGAAGUUGACCGCCUGGGGAGUACGGCCGCAAGGUU
rnacentral:rRNA from 1 species